AGAAGCUAUCUUUUGUCUAGCACUCUCUCUGCAACUUGAUUGAUCUAGUCUCAGUCUGAGUCGAUCCAGUGUCCUGAAUCUGCUAUUCCUCCACAGUCUUCAACCCUAGCUCUGAUUUCUUGCUCUACCUUAUGUCUUCAGGUAUCCAAAGCCUCAACCAAGCCCCUCAAAGUUCUCAUUGCCUGAACCUUGAGCUCAUGGAGAGGUACGCACCGCCUCCACCCUAAGAUCACUCUUAUCCUAGCCCUAGGAUCCAAAUCAGUCCUAAACUCCUAGAGCCAACACCCUGACUCCUCCUAUGGUCUCCUAAGGCUUAGGAGUACCACACCAAUUCUUACAAAUUUGAGUUCAUGAUACAUCCUACAUUAAAGGUUAUAGCGAUUCAGUACGAUCACUACAUGUAUCGAUGAACCAC
rnacentral:lncRNA from 1 species